rnacentral:rRNA from 1 species
CCCUUAGAGUUUGAUCCUGGCUCAGAUUGAACGCUGGCGGCAUGCUUUACACAUGCAAGUCGAACGGUAACAGGCCUUCGGGUGCUGACGAGUGGUGAACGGGUGAGUAAUGCAUCGGAACGUGCCCAGAGGUGGGGGAUAACGCAGCGAAAGCUGUGCUAAUACCGCAUGUGAUCUGAGGAUGAAAGCGGGGGACCAAGCAGCAAUGUUUGGCCUCGCGCCUCUGGAGCGGCCGAUGUCAGAUUAGGUAGUUGGUGGGAUAAAGGCCUACCAAGCCGACGAUCUGUAGCUGGUCUGAGAGGACGACCAGCCACACUGGGACUGAGACACGGCCCAGACUCCUACGGGAGGCAGCAGUGGGGAAUUUUGGACAAUGGGCGCAAGCCUGAUCCAGCAAUGCCGCGUGCGGGAAGAAGGCCUUCGGGUUGUAAACCGCUUUUGUACGGAACGAAAAGGCUCUGGCUAAUACCUGGGGCUGAUGACGGUACCGUAAGAAUAAGCACCGGCUAACUACGUGCCAGCAACCGCGGUAAUACGUAGGGUGCGAGCGCUAAUCGGUAUUACUGGGCGUAAAGCGUGCGCAAGCGGUCUUGUAGGACAGAGGUGAAAUCCCUGGGCUCACCCUAGGAUGGCCUUUGUGACUGCAGGCUGGAGUGCGGCAGAAGGGGAUGGAAUUCCUCGUGCACACUGAAAUGCGUAGAUAUGCUGA